CAGUAGCCGCGGUAACACGGAGGGUGCAAGCGUUAAUCGGAAUUACUGGGCGUAAAGCGCACGCAGGCGGUUUGUUAAGUCAGAUGUGAAAUCCCCGAGCUUAACUUGGGAACUGCAUUUGAAACUGGCAAGCUAGAGUCUUGUAGAGGGGGGUAGAAUUCCAGGUGUAGCGGUGAAAUGCGUAGAGAUCUGGAGGAAUACCGAUGGCGAAGGCAGCCCCCUGGGCCAAUACUGACGCUCAUGCACGAAAGCGUGGGGAGCAAACAGGAUUAGAUACCCCGGUAGUCCCUGUCUCUUAUAC
rnacentral:rRNA from 1 species